rnacentral:rRNA from 1 species
GCUUCCGGCCAUACUACCCUGAACACGCCCGAUCUCGUCCGAUCUCGGAAGCUAAACAGGGUCGGGCCUGGUUAGUACUUGGAUGGGAGACCGCCUGGGAAUACCAGCUGCUGUAAGCU